UUUCCUUUUUGGCACAAUUUGAAUUACUCUGUAGUAACUUUCUGGUUGAAAAGAAGGCCUAACAUGCACAUACCAACAAAUUUUUCCUUCUAACUUGCACUUCAUAUCUCUUAUUCUACUUGAUUUUCCUAAAAUCAAAUACACGCAAGCAUAAAGAUUAAUGGUAUAUUGAAUUCUCUUCCUCUCAAUGCAGUUUCAUUGCUUUGGCUAAUUUAUAUUAAUUAAGGAAAACGAAAAUGUAGAGUAGGGUGAGAAUUUUGGCUUAAAUAUGAUAUUAGAUCAGAAUGUAGCAUUUGGUUUAGGUGUUGACUGGGAAACUCACAGGAAUGUGAGAUUUAUGCUUAUGCAAGUUUAUUCUUUUGAUGAAUUCAACUGCCAACUCCCCAAGGAGGUCAAGGGUAAUCUUGAUAUUCUCAUUUGCUGGUCAGGUUGGUAAUUCACUUUUCACUGGUUUACUGUUUCUUUCUUUUUCUUGUUCAAAGUAUCUUUUAUAGUUUUGAAUUGAUAUUUAAACUUAGGAAUAACUUGCGCCUCCAACUAAUGGAGACACCAUGUUAGUGAUAAUUUCUUCCCUUUAGCAUAAGGAUACUCCUAGGAUGAUUGAAGUACAAAAUCAAUUGUCUUUUGUACUCUGUGUAGUACGUAUGUAUUUGCGUUAGACUAUGCUCAUGUCUAUCUAAAGUAU